rnacentral:rRNA from 1 species
AACGAACGCUGGUGGCAUGCCUAAUACAUGCAAGUCGAACGAGAAAGUUCUUCGGAAUGAGUACAGUGGCGCACGGGUGAGUAACGCGUAGGUAACGUGCCUUUUAGUGGGGGAUAACACCGGGAAACCAGUGCUAGUACCGCAUAAGUAAGCAAUUAGAAAGGUGGCUUCGGCUAUCGCUGAAAGAUCGGCCUGCGUAGCAUUAGCUAGUUGGUAGGGUAAUGGCCUACCAAGGCGGGGAUGCUUAACUGGUAUGAGAGGAUGAUCAGUCACACUGGAACUGAGACACGGUCCAGACUCCUACGGGAGGCAGCAGUAGGGAAUAUUGCGCAAUGGGGGAAACCCUGACGCAGCAAUGCCACGUGAGUGAGGAAGGUCUUCGGAUUGUAAAGCUCUGUCCUAUGGGAAGAAUGACAUUAUGGCUAACAUCCAUAGUGUUUGACGGUACCAUAGAAGAAAGCACCGGCUAACUCCGUGCCAGCCGCCGCAGUAA